UUCUUCAUAGUCAGUAGUAUUAGCGCCUUUGCUCAUUAGCGCCACCUCUAUUCAGGAGAAGACUGCAACUAGUGGCGUGA